UGUGAGAGCGGUAAGAUGGCGGGGGUGAUGGUGGUGGAGUUCCAGAGAGCCCAGUCUCUACUCAGCACUGACUGGGAGGCCUCCAUCGACAUCCUCCACUCCAUCGAAUUUUAAGAGGAUUUGCAUUUUCCUCUCCCAGUGAAGCAUGACAUUCAAGAAAAUGAUGAGGAGGCAGUGCAGGUCAAAUAGCAGAGCAUCCUGGAACUGGGAUCUCUUCUGGCAAAGACUGGACAAGCUGCAGAGCUUGGAGGACUCCUGAAGUAUGUACGACCCUUCUUGAAUUCCAUCAGCAAGGCUAAAGCAGCCAGUCUGGUCCGAUCUCUUCUUGAUCUGUUUCUUGAUACGGAAGCAGCUACAGGGCAGGAGGUUGAGCUGUGUUUACAGUGCAUUGAAUGGGCCAAAUCAGAGAAAAGGACUUUCUUAUGCCAAGCUUUGGAGGUUCUCAGCUGUUGCGGGAGUUGAAAAAGAUGGAUGACAAAGCCCUUUUGGUAGAAGUACAGCUUUUAUUUCUUUUAGAAAGCAAAACAUACCACGCCCUGAGCAACUUGUCGAAAGCCCAAGCUGCCUUAACCUCUGCUCGAACCACAGCAAAUGCCAUCUACUGCCCCCCUAAAUUGCAGGCCACCUUGGACAUGCAGUCAGGUAUUAUCCAUGCAGCAGAGGAAAAGGACUGGAAAACUGCGUACUCAUACUUCUAUGAGGCAUUUGAAGGUUAUGACUCCAUUGAUAGCCCCAAGGCCAUUACAUCUCUGAAGUACAUGUUGCUGUUCAAAAUCAUGCUCAACACCCCAGAACAUGUCCAGGCUUUGGUGAGCGGGAAGCUUGCACUUCGGUAUGCAGGGAGGCAGACAGAAGCAUUAAAAUGCGUGGCUCAGGCUAGCAAGAACAGAUCACUGGCAGAUUUUGAAAAGGCCCUGACAGAAUACUGGGCAGAGCUCCAGGAUGACCCAAUUAUCAGCACACACUUGGCCAAGUUGUAUGAUAACUUACUGGAACAGAAUCUGAUUCGAGUCAUUGAGUCUUUUUCCCGAGUACAGAUUGCACACAUAUCUAGUCUCAUCAAACUCUCGAAGGGCGAUGUGGAAAGGAAAUUAUCACAGAUGAUCCUUGACAAGAAAUUUCAUGGGAUUUUGGACCAGGGGGAGGGUGUCCUGAUUAUUUUCGAUGAACCCCCAGUAGAUAAAACUUAUGAAGCUGCUCUGGAAACAAUUCAGAACAUGAGCAAAGUAGUGGAUUCCCUCUACAACAAAGCCAAGAAACUGACAAAGAGUUGGAUCUGUAGCGGUCCUUUGGAGAGUGUGUGUGGCGGGAGAGUGAAACCUUGGGGGAAAUGCUAGGAGAUUCUUUUUUUCUUUUUGUUCUACUUUUCGCUCAGAACGUUUUUAAAUCCUCAUUUGGUGCAUCUGUAUUCCAGCCAAUAGGUGUGCCAGUUUUCAUGUAAUCUAUACUGGCCCAACUUGGGAGUGGGGAAAUUGCUUAAAAAAAAAAAAAAAAAAAAGAUUAUUCUAAAUAAAAGGAAAAAGGCUUACACUAAAAAAAAAAAAAGACUGAAACUGGACCCAUACGUUUCCCACUCACAAAAAUUGAUUCAAGAUGGAUAAAGGACUUAAAUUUAAGGCAUGAAACAAUAAAAAUCCUCAAAGAAAGCAUAGGAAAAACACUGGAAGAUAUUGGCCUGGGGAAGGACUUCAUGAAGAAGACUGCCAUGGCAAUUGCAACAACAACAAAAAUAAACAAAUGGGACUUCAUUAAACUGAAAAGCUUCUGUACAGCUAAGGAGACAAUAACCAAAGCAAAGAGACAGCCUACACAAUGGGAAAGGAUAUUUGCAUAUUUUCAAUCAGACAAAAGCUUGAUAACUAGGAUCUAUAGAGAACUCAAUCCACAUGAAAAAAGCCAACAAUCCCAUAUAUCAAUGGGCAAGAGACAUGAAUAGAACUUUCUCUAAAGAUGACAGACGAAUGGCUAACAAACACAUGAAAAAAUGUUCAUCAUCUCUGUAUAUUAGAGAAAUGCAAAUCAGAACAACCCUGAGAUAUCAUCUAACCCCAGUGAGAAUGGCCCACAUCACAAAAUCUCAAAACUACAGAUGCUGGCGUGGAUGUGGAGAGAAGGGAACACUUUCACACUGCUGGUGGGACUGCAAACUACAACCUUUCUGGAAGGAAGUAUGGAGAAACUUCAGAGCACUCAAGCUAGACCUCCCAUUUGAUCCUGCAGUCCC